UCCAAGGACAUACAUAGCCUUGAGACAGUAAGGUGCUGUUGAGACCAUCCGGCCAGAAUAUAUGACUGGACCUAGUCAAGAACGCUAUGCAAACUUUGAAGAUGCUGGCGGGCGGGUGCGGAGAUCUGCUUCCUGGCACGGAGAGAAACCUUAGGAAGAGAAAAGACACAGACACCAAGAGAGAAUACUAUGUGACAAAUGAAGGCAGAAAUUGAAAUGAUCUAUCUUCAACAAGGAAUACCCAGGAUUUCCUGCAACCAUCAGAAGGAAUAAAGAGAUGAAUGAGGUCAACACGAUAAAGAGCUGGUUGUUCCUUUGCUUUUUAGGAUUCUUUCUACAUUCUUAACUAAAUAAAUCAUGUUCUGACUUGAAA